GAGAAGUUUUAUUCUUGCUUUAUUCCUGCUUUCUGUAAGUAUUCUAUGGGAGAUUUUAUUCGUGGGGCGGUAGGAGAAUUUCUUUUGCGAUAUGUCCCCAGUGUAGAGAAUUAGGUUAUUAGUGAGAGGCUUAAUUUAGUUGUAUGGAUUAGCACGGGUCAAAAUUUGUGCCAGCAGCCGCGGUUAGACUGGUAGUGUGAGUAGGAAAAUUUAGGUGUGGCAGUUAGAAGGAGUUGACAGAAGGUUUAAGUUUGAAAAUUAAGAGUGAAAUCUCCAAUUUUUUAAUACUUAAAUUAAAGUAAACUUAUUUUGAAGCUGUGAAAACUUAGAGAUAAAACAGGAUUAGAUACCCUGCUAUACUUAGUUGAAAAGUUAUGAUGCUGGAUUAGUAAACAGUUAUGUUCUCGAAAUUUAAAGAAUUUGGCGGCAUUUCAGUCUAGUUAGAGGAACCUGUCCUGUAAACGAUGAACCACGAAUUAUCUUACUUCCUUUUGCCUUUUCAGUUAGUAUACCGUCAUUAUGAGAUAAGCCUUAAAUGGAAUUAUUUAAAUGAGUAUUUUCUCAGUAUAUUAGAUCAGGGUGCUGCCUAUGGGGAAGAAGAGAUGGGUUACAAUAAUUAAAAAUUAUGACGGAUGUUAUGUUGAAAUAUGUAGCUGAAGGAGGAUUUAAUAGUAAUCAUGUUAUAAUAAGUCUUGAUGAUAGCAGCUCUGGAAUGUGUACAAAUCGCCCGUCGCUCUCACUGCCAAUGUGAGAUAAGUCGUAACAAGGUAGGUGUGUCGGAAGGCGUACCUAGAAUUAU
rnacentral:ncRNA from 1 species